AUUGAACGCUGGCGGCAUGCUUUACACAUGCAAGUCGAACGGCAGCGCGGGCUUCGGCCUGGCUGCGAGUGGCGAACGGGUGAGUAAUUCAUCGGAACGUGCCCAGUAGUGGGGGAUAGCCCGGCUAAAGCCGGAUUAAUACCGCAUACGACCUGAGGGUGAAAGCGGGGGACCGAAAGGCCUCGCGCUAUUGGAUCGGCCGAUGUCGGAUUAGCUAGUUGGUGGGGUAAAGGCUUACCAAGGCGACGAUCCGUAGCUGGUCUGAGAGGACGACCAGCCACACUGGGACUGAGACACGGCCCAGACUCCUACGGGAGGCAGCAGUGGGGAAUUUUGGACAAUGGGGGCAACCCUGAUCCAGCCAUGCCGCGUGCGGGAAGAAGGCCUUCGGGUUGUAAACCGCUUUUGUUCGGGAAGAAAUAAUCUGGGCUAAUACCCCGGGGGGAUGACGGUACCGGAAGAAUAAGCACCGGCUAACUACGUG
rnacentral:rRNA from 1 species